GGAUUAGAUACCCUGGUAGUCCACGCCGUAAACGAUGAAUGCUACCUGUGUGGGGUCUCGACCCCCUGCGUGGGUUAGUUAACACGAUAAGCAUUCCGCCUGGGGAGUACGAACGCAAGUUUAAAACUCAAAGGAAUUGACGGGGACCCGCACAAGCAGUGGAGCAUGUGGUUUAAUUCGAUGCUAAGCGAAGAACCUUACCGAGGCUUGACAUCCUAGGAAUCUCGGCGAAAGCCAAGAGUGCCUUCGGGAGCCUAGUGACAGGUGCUGCAUGGCCGUCGUCAGCUCGUGCCG
rnacentral:rRNA from 1 species